CUCGUUCAGGUUCUAGGCUUCCUUUCUAGCAGGAGGGCGGGGGGUGCAGGAAGUGAACUUUAAACACAAGUAAAUAAUUUAUGUAGAAUAUUAGAAGGACAAGAGUGCUAGGAGAUACAAGGAAAGUCAGGCAAGAAAAGGAGAUGGAGUAUGGGGGAGGGGGUGCCUACAACCCCACCCCCUUGCCUUAAAAGUUCUCCAUAGCACUGGCGAUCAUCUAACUAUAUCUCUCACUCAUUUAUCUCUUUAGCGUCUGUCUCUCUCCCUCCACUCAGAUGGAUGCUCCAUGGGUCAGGAGUUUUGCCUGUUUGGUUCACAGCUGUUCUCAUACUAUAAAUUCCAUGAGGGCAGGACCCGCAUCUGACUUGACUCACUCUGGUAUCUCUUGGUGUCUGGGGAGGGGCCUGACACAUAAUGAAGAAUGAAGAUUAAAUGAAUGAAGAAAUGGCCAUUCACCUUCCUCAGGCUCUCUGGGUGAGCUCAGAAAGCACCCCUAGAACCAUGGAAAUAAGGGAGCUGAACCAGACCUAUGGUUGCCAAGCUGGGUCUGUGAAAGCAGCUGUGUGGAUCCUAUUUUCAAGAAUUUAAAGUCCAAUAAAGUCAGCACCCCCUCCCCUCCCCACUGGAUGGCCUGCACAAGAUCACCAAGAUAGCAGCCCCGUUGGUUUGACCCAGAGUCAUAACAUCUGUCAGGGACUGAGGUUGGCUGUUAGUGACAUCACAGACCUCAACCCCAGUUCCAGAUUAUGUGGCCAGUACUUCCAGUACCCACAUUGCACUCCACGGGCCUGUGAAGGUCAUUGCCACCCUGCAAAUGUGAGCUGUGUCUGACAAAAUACAGAGUGGGGCAAAAGUAGUUUUACAGUUAUGAGUUUGUGAAACAUAGUUUAUUACUGUCUUAUUAUUUAUUAAUCAUUGUACUAUUUUCCACUUAAACAACUAUAAACCUACUUUUGCCCACCCUGCUAGAAGCUGAGAGACCACAUGUAGGGACCCAGUAGUUCCAGUCAUCCCAGAUGAGGCCAAUUUAACCAGCCAAUCCCAGGGAUUCUACCAAUUGACAGCAGACAAGUGGGCCAAGCCCUCCCCAGACCAGCAGGAUCGCACAGCUGAUCCCAACUGAAACUGCUGACCCCCCCAAAUCAUGAGCUGUUGCAUUGAAGUGGCUGUUGCAUUGAAUGACUGAGUUGUGGGAUGUUUUUUGCAUAGCAAAAGUACCUGAUACAGAGGUGAAGUCAUGGCCCACGUCACACAGCAGGGCUGGGACUCAAACCCAACCUUUCUGGCCACAGAGCACAUGUUCUUAACCACUGACACUUUAGUGCUUGCAAAGUACAUUUAUUUUCAUUGCAAGCCCUUAGUGAGUCCAUGAAUCAGUCCAAACAGAAGCUCAGAGAUGUCAAGGAACCUACCUAAGGUCACACAGCUAGUCAGAGCUGGAAGAGGCCAUCCAGCCCAGUUCUUCUGAUUUCACAUUCAUGCUGUUCCCACUGCUCCAUGAAGGCUGGAACAGCCAGAGCCUGGGGCACUGGUUUAUGAAGAGGUCUCUAAGGUCCUCCACAUGACUCCUUAUAUUUCAUGAAAGGACUGAUUUUCUCCCUCCCACCAUGAAAUUUUCAGACAGAACAGGUGGCUCCUCAGCCAGGGAGCUAUGACUGCUGAACUGACCCUGCCUGCUCCCCGAUCCUCCCCUCACUGCCCAGUAGGAGCUGUCGGUUGUCUUGGAUACAGCAGGUGAUGGGAAAGGAUGGUGGCUGAGGUCACAGCGGGAACUGGGCAGGCCGUGGACAGGGAGAAAUGGCUUCCCAGACAGACUCAUGCCCUUUCACCCACCCUGGAAUGAAAGAGGAGGACAUGGCUGGUCUGGCCAGGCCAAGCCAGCAUCAGAGCCCUGAGGUCUCCAUAAGAUCCCCGGGAGGAAGAAGAAUGGGCUUAGAGCAGGGGGAAGGCAAGUCAAUCACUCAGGCCCUUCAGGUAUGAUCAUAAGGCAGUGGGGGUGGAAUGCCAGGCACCCAUCUGGAGUGCCAGGGGUGGAAAUGGCCACUGGCAGGGCCAGCUGAAGCCCUGCCCUGACUGGGCAUCUGCAGAGCCAGGCUCUAGAGAUGUCUGCUUCCCAGAGGUGGGAGUGAAGAGGCUGCUCUCUAUCCCACCAAAAAGUGAAAUAAACAUGGAAGGGACAGCUGCAGCAUGGGGGAAAGAUGCCUGGAAGUCAUUCAGAUCUGAAUCCCACACGCUCUGCCUCCUAGGAGUGGGACUUUGGGCUGGUUUCUUCAUCUUCGAGCCUCAGUUUCUUAUCUGAGAAAUAGGGGGAACCGUCAUGUAUCUCAGAGGUGGCUGUGAGGCCUGAAUGAGAACGUGCUGAGAGAGCUUCUUGUAAACCACAAAUGUCAUGCAGGCUGAGGUGACGAGGGGACACUGUCUAUCUGGUGCCUCCAGCCCCAGAGCUCCUCCAAGUCCUGGAUGAAACCCCAUAAACUCCAUUCCUCAAAACACCCAUUAGAAACCACUUGGCCUAAGUGGGGAAAUUAAGAGCCAGAGAGAAGGGCUCUGCCUAGAUUCCAAUGGGCAGCGAGUGCAGGCCUGGCCCUGGAGCUGGGUCUCCUGACUCAGGGUCUUUCUCUGCACUGUGUUUGCCACCCAAGUUCACCCUCCUGGGCCUUCGGGGAUGGAGGGGAGUAGGGUGCACUACUCCCUGCUCCCUUACUGGUUAAUCCACUCCCCCUUCCAAGUCAUCUGAGGCAGCCAGAUCACAUUGGGAGGCUGGGCCUCCCCUGGGAGGUGCUGUGAUCAUAUAUGUGUUAAAAGGAAUAGAAAGUCCUGGGCAGCCCCUGUGGGAGACAUCAGAGAUUGAAAAGUGUCCUGGGGCAGUCCUUGUGGGAGACAGCAGAGAUUGAAAAGCCCUUGGUCCCUCCAAUCGCAUCAACAACUGUCCUUGUCCUGAUGGGGGUCACUACUGGCUUUGCCAUACUCUGAAGGGACUCCCUCACUCUCACCAUGGCCAUCAGAAAAAUAGUAAAAUCUUUCAUGCUCUAGACAGAAUCCAAAGUCCGCCCUCUCGUUACCAGGCCUGGGAGGACCCUUGGUAACUUUCAGAGAGCUCAAAGGUGUGCUUCCCUCCUGCGGGGCGAGCCAGGCUCCGCAGCCCCUUCAGUCUGAGCAUGCAGAGCCCACCCAGCCCUCUGCUCCCAGUGGAGAAGAGCGGAGGGGUCAGGCUGGCUCAAAGUAUAAAAGGAUAAAUACAAAGGAAAGUAAGUCUUUCCUUUUCCAAUCUGGGCUCCCUCCCCAGAGGGCAGGCCCCGCUCCCAGGCUCUAGUGAUCUAGUGACCCAGGGAUAGACUGCACCUUUAUAAGCAAAAAUAAAUGCAAAAAUGUAUUUAUGCAUCUUCCUCGGUCACAUAAAUAGCAGCAUCCUAUACACAUUGUUCUGGACCUUGCUUUCUUUACCCAGUAGCCUGUCUUGGUGACCUUCCCUCAUCAGGAUAUGGAGAGCUGCUUCUUUCUUCUUCGUGGCUACAUAGUAUUCCACCCCCUGGCUAGUCCAUCUUUUAGUUGCCAGCCUGCUAGUCACGGGCUCUUCUACCGUUUCCCAUCAAGCUAUCAGAGCGCUGCAAUAAACCGUAGGAUGAAUUCAAGAAGCUGAACCUCUAGGUAAACGAAUAUGUGUGUUUAUAAUUUUAUAGGUAAUGUCAAAAUGCCCUCCCUAGAGGUAAAACCAGAUUGUAUGAGAGACCUAUUUUCGCCACACCAAUUGCAAUUCAGUAUAUUGUAUUUUUUUACCUUAUUCAGUCUGAUGGAUGAAAAUACUAUCUGCUUGCCUUUAAUUUGCAUUUUUCUUAUUAAGGGAGAUGAGCAGCUCUGCAUAUGUUGAAGAGUCAUUUGUAGCUCCUUCGCCGAAACUUUCCCCACCUUUCUUAUGGUUUGGGUUUUUUUUCUUAUCUUAUUUGUAGAAGGGCUUCACAUAUUAAAGAACUUUCUCAUUUA